rnacentral:lncRNA from 1 species
CAGACUUAAGCAGCACGAUGUGGCAGAACAAUCCCCAUUGCUGAAGGAAUGUCCAGUUCUUGCCCUUUUAAAGCUGCUGCCUCUGUGACACGUCAAAUUAGGAUCACUCCUGGGGACCUAGGGGCAGAGCCACGCCCCAUGAAAGGGCUCUCCCGGGCAACCUGCCUCUUCUGCUCUCUUCUCUGAAGCAGUGAUUUGGGGGCGGGGAGAGGGGCGUGGCCGGCAGGUGUUAGAUGGAGCCCUCCUCAGGGGGCCAGGCUGGAAGCAGGAAGAAUAGCAGCUAACAGUUGUUGUGACUUAGGACUAUCUCGUCCUCACAACAAGCCUGCGAUGAAGAGACUCUUCCUAUUAUUCCCACUUUUCAGGCACUGUCAACUUUUCCUGCACAGACGGAAUCUUUUUUUCCUAGCAACUUUACUUUCUUUUAGUGUUACAAAGUGCCAUGAAGCCUGUGAUGGGUAACCUGCCAGAUUUCACCUGGUCCUCUGAAUAAAACCUGAUACCUGAUGUCACUUUUCUUGUCAUUUCUUCUCCUAAAAAGUUUUAUGCAGCCAACUAUCAGGUGAUGAGGGAAGAGUACAGACACCUGCAGAGGCCAACAUGGGCACACAGUUCUAAGAUGUUAAAAACAAAACAUUCCAAAUACAAAAAUUAUCAGAAGAAAUAAAGCUCUCUUACAGUAUAAGUCAGAGAGACAUGACAAAUACCCUCAGAGUAACCUGAGCUCUUGCCUAGCAUUAGCACUUUUUAAAGCCCAACUGCCAUCUUGAUUUGUGGUAUUCCCACGCAAGGCCAUGCAAUCCAGUGCCCAGAAAUGUUGAGUGCUGGGUUCUUUUCUUGGCUGCCUCUGAGUGACCUUGAGCAAAUCAACUCAACAUCCCAGUUACAGGAAAUAGACAAUCCCA